rnacentral:rRNA from 1 species
GACGAACGCUGGCGGCGUGCCUAAUACAUGCAAGUAGAACGCAGUUGCGAACGGGUGAGUAACGCGUAGGUAACUGCCUGGUAGCGGGGGAUAACUAUUGGAAACGAUAGCUAAUACCGCAUACUUCCAGAUGGACCUGCGUUGUAUUAGCUAGUUGGUGAGGUAACGGCCCACCCAGGCAACGAGACGUAGCCUACUUGAGUGGGUGGACGGCACCACUUGGACGUAAACACGGGCCAGACUCCUACGGGAGGGAACAGUAGGGAAUCUUCGGCAAGGGGGGGAACCCUGACCGCGCACCGCCGCGUUAGUGAAGAAGGUUUUCGGAUCGUAAAACUCUUUUGUUAAGGAAGCGGUACUUGACCGGAAAGGAACGGCUAACUACGUGCCAGCAGCCGCGGUAAUUC